AGACGUGUCAAGCUUUCCACUUUGACUUGAAAAUGCCUGAAGUCUAACUGCAUUAGUGCACGACCUUCGUUCGUGCAUUUUCUUACAGCGGAAAAUCUAAAGAAUUUCAAAUUGGAUACGGUCUUACAUAAAGGAGGCAGAAUCUGAGGGUAACAGACACGAAGGACACUCAAGUCGUAGUCACUGAGAACCUGCGAAAGAAAUAAGAAUUACAUCAUAGAUGGAAUAUGAUUUUGAUAGCUUUUUGUUUCAACAAGAUAUAUGAAGAUAUCUGAGGGAGCAAUUUUUGGAACAAUUGGACAACAGUCUAAACCGUGUUUCCACAGAGAAUUAGGAAUACAAUAUGGACAAUCACUGUUAAACAUUUGUAACUUUUCCAAAUAACGUGUUUUGGCCUCAAUACUAAGUCCACUGGCAUAAUUAGACAGUGACAUAGUUAAACACUAA